UGUCCGGGCCGGCUCGGGCCCUGUCCGGGCCGGCUCGGACCUGGUCCGGCGCCGGUUCGGCCCGGUUCGGAUCCGGUUCGUACGGCC
rnacentral:tRNA from 1 species